rnacentral:tRNA from 1 species
UCCCUGAUAGCUCAGUUGGUAAAGAAUCUGCUUGCAAUGCAGGAGACCCUGGUUUGAUUCCUGGGUCGGGAA